rnacentral:tRNA from 2 species
GCGCGCUUAACUCAGUGGUAGAGUGCUACCUUCAGACGGUAGAAGUCGUUACUCUAGUCCAACAGUGCGCACCA